rnacentral:misc_RNA from 1 species
GAUGAAGAACGCAGCGAAAUGCGAUAAGUAAUGUGAAUUGCAGAAUUCAGUGAAUCAUCGAAUCUUUGAACGCACAUUGCGCCCCUUGGUAUUCCGAGGGGCAUGCCUGUUCGAGCGUCAUUAUAACCCCUCAAGCUCAGCUUGGUGUUGGGGCCUGCUGCACUGGCAGCCCUUAAAAUCAGUGGCGGCGCCAUCUGGCUCUAAGCGUAGUAAUUCUUCUCGCUAUGGAGUCCUGGUGGAUGCUUGCCAUCAACCCCCAAUUUUUCUAUGGUUGACCUCGGAUCAGGUAGGGAUACCCGCUGAACUUAAGCAUAUCAAUAAGCGGAAGA